rnacentral:rRNA from 1 species
GAUGAACGCUGGCGGCGUGCUUAACACAUGCAAGUCGAACGGUGAAGGCGGAGCUUGCUCUGCUGGAUCAGUGGCGAACGGGUGAGUAACACGUGAGCAAUCUGCCCCUGACUCUGGGAUAAGCGCUGGAAACGGCGUCUAAUACUGGAUACGAGCUGCGAAGGCAUCUUCAGCAGCUGGAAAGAAUUUCGGUCAGGGAUGAGCUCGCGGCCUAUCAGCUCGUUGGUGAGGUAAUGGCUCACCAAGGCGUCGACGGGUAGCCGGCCUGAGAGGGUGACCGGCCACACUGGGACUGAGACACGGCCCAGACUCCUACGGGAGGCAGCAGUGGGGAAUAUUGCACAAUGGGCGAAAGCCUGAUGCAGCAACGCCGCGUGAGGGACGACGGCCUUCGGGUUGUAAACCUCUUUUAGCAGGGAAGAAGCGAAAGUGACGGUACCUGCAGAAAAAGCGCCGGCUAACUACGUG